rnacentral:rRNA from 1 species
GGGUUGUGAGGUUAAGCGACUAAGCGUACACGGUGGAUGCCCUGGCAGUCAGAGGCGAUGAAGGACGUGCUAAUCUGCGAAAAGCGUCGGUAAGGUGAUAUGAACCGUUAUAACCGGCGAUGUCCGAAUGGGGAAACCCAGUGCAAUUCGUUGCACUAUCGUUAACUGAAUACAUAGGUUAACGAGGCGAACCGGGGGAACUGAAACAUCUAAGUACCCCGAGGAAAAGAAAUCAACCGAGAUUCCCCCAGUAGCGGCGAGCGAACGGGGAGCAGCCCAGAGUCUGAAUCAGCUUGUGUGUUAGUGGAACGGUCUGGAAAGUCCGACGGUACAGGGUGAUAGUCCCGUACACCAAAAUGCACAGGCUGUGAACUCGAAGAGUAGGGCGGGACACGUGGUAUCCUGUCUGAAUAUGGGGGGACCAUCCUCCAAGGCUAAAUACUCCUGACUGACCGAUAGUGAACCAGUACCGUGAGGGAAAGGCGAAAAGAACCCCGGCGAGGGGAGUGAAAAAGAACCUGAAACCGUGUACGUACAAGCAGUGGGAGCACCUUCGGGUGUGACUGCGUACCUUUUGUAUAAUGGGUCAGCGACUUAUAUUCUGUAGCAAGGUUAACCGUAUAGGGGAGCCGCAGGGAAACCGAGUCUUAACUGGGCGUUAAGUUGCAGGGUAUAGACCCGAAACCCGGUGAUCUAGCCAUGGGCAGGUUGAAGGUUGGGUAACACUAACUGGAGGACCGAACCGACUAAUGUUGAAAAAUUAGCGGAUGACUUGUGGCUGGGGGUGAAAGGCCAAUCAAACCGGGAGAUAGCUGGUUCUCCCCGAAAGCUAUUUAGGUAGCGCCUCGUGAACUCAUCUUCGGGGGUAGAGCACUGUUUCGGCUAGGGGGUCAUCCCGACUUACCAACCCGAUGCAAACUACGAAUACCGAAGAAUGUUAUCACGGGAGACACACGGCGGGUGCUAACGUCCGUCGUGAAGAGGGAAACAACCCAGACCGCCAGCUAAGGUCCCAAAGUCAUGGUUAAGUGGGAAACGAUGUGGGAAGGCACAGACAGCCAGGAUGUUGGCUUAGAAGCAGCCAUCAUUUAAAGAAAGCGUAAUAGCUCACUGGUCGAGUCGGCCUGCGCGGAAGAUGUAACGGGGCUAAACCAUGCACCGAAGCUGCGGCAGCGACACUAUGUGUUGUUGGGUAGGGGAGCGUUCUGUAAGCCUGCGAAGGUGACCUGUGAGGGUUGCUGGAGGUAUCAGAAGUGCGAAUGCUGACAUAAGUAACGAUAAAGCGGGUGAAAAGCCCGCUCGCCGGAAGACCAAGGGUUCCUGUCCAACGUUAAUCGGGGCAGGGUGAGUCGACCCCUAAGGCGAGGCCGAAAGGCGUAGUCGAUGGGAAACAGGUUAAUAUUCCUGUACUUGGUGUUACUGCGAAGGGGGGACGGAGAAGGCUAUGUUAGCCGGGCGACGGUUGUCCCGGUUUAAGCAUGUAGGCUGGUUGUCCAGGCAAAUCCGGAUAAUCAAGGCUGAGGUGUGAUGACGAGGCACUACGGUGCUGAAGUAACAAAUGCCCUGCUUCCAGGAAAAGCCUCUAAGCAUCAGGUAACAUCAAAUCGUACCCCAAACCGACACAGGUGGUCAGGUAGAGAAUACCAAGGCGCUUGAGAGAACUCGGGUGAAGGAACUAGGCAAAAUGGUGCCGUAACUUCGGGAGAAGGCACGCUGGUGUGUAGGUGAAGCCCCUGCGGGUGGAGCUGAGACCAGUCGAAGAUACCAGCUGGCUGCAACUGUUUAUUAAAAACACAGCACUGUGCAAACACGAAAGUGGACGUAUACGGUGUGACGCCUGCCCGGUGCCGGAAGGUUAAUUGAUGGGGUUAUCCGUAAGGAGAAGCUCUUGAUCGAAGCCCCGGUAAACGGCGGCCGUAACUAUAACGGUCCUAAGGUAGCGAAAUUCCUUGUCGGGUAAGUUCCGACCUGCACGAAUGGCGUAAUGAUGGCCAGGCUGUCUCCACCCGAGACUCAGUGAAAUUGAACUCGCUGUGAAGAUGCAGUGUACCCGCGGCAAGACGGAAAGACCCCGUGAACCUUUACUAUAGCUUGACACUGAACAUUGAGCCUUGAUGUGUAGGAUAGGUGGGAGGCUUUGAAGCGUGGACGCCAGUCUGCGUGGAGCCAACCUUGAAAUACCACCCUUUAAUGUUUGAUGUUCUAACGUUGGCCCCUUAUCGGGGUUGCGGACAGUGUCUGGUGGGUAGUUUGACUGGGGCGGUCUCCUCCCAAAGCGUAACGGAGGAGCACGAAGGUUAGCUAAUCCUGGUCGGACAUCAGGAGGUUAGUGCAAUGGCAUAAGCUAGCUUGACUGCGAGCGUGACGGCGCGAGCAGGUGCGAAAGCAGGUCAUAGUGAUCCGGUGGUUCUGAAUGGAAGGGCCAUCGCUCAACGGAUAAAAGGUACUCCGGGGAUAACAGGCUGAUACCGCCCAAGAGUUCAUAUCGACGGCGGUGUUUGGCACCUCGAUGUCGGCUCAUCACAUCCUGGGGCUGAAGUAGGUCCCAAGGGUAUGGCUGUUCGCCAUUUAAAGUGGUACGCGAGCUGGGUUUAGAACGUCGUGAGACAGUUCGGUCCCUAUCUGCCGUGGGCGCUGGAGAAUUGAGGGGGGCUGCUCCUAGUACGAGAGGACCGGAGUGGACGCAUCACUGGUGUUCGGGUUGUCAUGCCAAUGGCACUGCCCGGUAGCUAAAUGCGGAAGAGAUAAGUGCUGAAAGCAUCUAAGCACGAAACUUGCCCCGAGAUGAGUUCUCCCUGAGACUAUAAGUCUCCUGAAGGAACGUUAAAGACGAUGACGUUGAUAGGCCGGGUGUGUAAGCGCAGCGAUGCGUUGAGCUAACCGGUACUAAUGAACCGUGAGGCUUAACCUUACAACGCCGAAG